GGAGGGCAAGUCUGGUGCCAGCAGCCGCGGUAAUUCCAGCUCCAAUAGCGUAUAUUAAAGUUGUUGCAGUUAAAAAGCUCGUAGUUGGAUUUCUGUUAAUAAUUUAUAUAAAAUAUUUUGAUGAAUAUUUAUAUAAUAUUAACAUAAUUCAUAUUACUAUUUUUUUUAGUAUAUGAAAUUUUACUUUGAGAAAAUUAGAGUGCUUAAAGCAGGCAUAUGCCUUGAAUACUCCAGCAUGGAAUAAUAUUAAAGAUUUUUAUCUUUCUUAUUGGUUCUAAGAUAAGAAUAAUGAUUAAUAGGGACAGUUGGGGGCAUUUGUAUUUAACAGUCAGAGGUGAAAUUCCUAGAUUUGUUAAAGACAAACUAAUGCGAAAGCAUUUGCCAAGGAUGUUUUCAUUAAUCAAGAACGAAAGUUAGGGGAUCGAAGACGAUCAGAUACCGUCGUAGUCUUAACCAUAAACUAUGCCAACUAGAGAUUGGAGGUUGUUCCUUACUCCUUC
rnacentral:rRNA from 1 species